rnacentral:misc_RNA from 1 species
AUCAGCUGUUGGAAGGACCAUCAGCCCACAAGAGCAGAGAGCGCUGGCGGAGUUGUGCCCCAACACGCUCUGCUCCCUAGUCACCCUCUGGUUGUGUUACCUGCGUAAAAGCGUUAAAAUAACAGAUAAAAAAUAAAUUAACAUCACGUUACCUCAUCAGAAAAAGAGGCGAAGGAGUCGUGAGUGAACAGGGCUUGUAUCAAAGGAAUAAAGAUUCCUGACACAGGAUAAGUGGCCGGGGAGGUGGGCGUGGGGUGUAGUGUCUCUCUCCUGCUGUGUGGUUCACCGAUAAACUUAAGAAAGGUGUUUUACUGCCCCUGAGACUCGACUAGAAAUCAAAGAGCAGUGUGGCUGUGAGCUGAGAGGUCACCGUGGAUGAGCUCAUGGCUGGCAUAUCGUGUGAACUGAUGAAAGAUGCGCGGACUGUAGGAACACACUGCUGAUCAUCCUGUCGGGAGUGUCUCGCUAACUGACCAAGUACGUCUCACUCCAUCGGUGUGUCUACUACCGGCGUGUCGCCGUGUCAAGAUGAAGAACUUACUGUGUGUCGUGGCGAUAGUGACGACCUUUCUCCACCUCAGCGAGGGGAGGUUGUGCUACAACUGCAUUGGAAACUGUGUCACCGAUUCAGAGUGCAAGGGUUCGUGCACCACCUCGGUCCUGGAGUUGGGUGGCAACGAGGAACGUAGCUGCAUCAACGAGACGGUGGAGGCCAGGUGUAUAUCAGAGGAGAGAAUGGGGGAGAAAUACAAGACUUGUUUCUGUAACACCGAGCGCUGUAACUCCUCCUCUCAGGUGUUGUUCAAUCUCGCCAUCUUAUUGCUGGCUGCUUCACUACUGCAGCAGUUGAGGUAGAGACCCCAAUGACGACCUCACCACCGUAGCAACUGAGGUAGAAAUCCUCCUGUUCCUCUUCCUCCUGCUGCUGCUGGUGGCCUCACUGCUCUUGUAGUAUAUGUAAACAGUCCUGCUACCUUCUCCUGGGGACUACCGAACCACCUAGAUCACCAUUAUCGGUCUCGCUUCUGUGGUACAUGAGGCUAUCAACCCCUCCUCUGCCUCAAGACAUCAACGGUAUUAUAUCAAGCAAUUUGGUGAGACUCCUCGCGUCCUUAAAGGUAUCGCGACGGCAAAAUAUAUGAAGGUCCACGUCUCCUUCUAGUCUUCUUGGUGUCAGUGAAAGUAGCUGGCCCUCUUAUCUCUCUGUUUCUAGUGGUGGCUUCAUCACCACCUGCUGCUGGAAAAGGCUGCCAACAGAUGAGACCUCACUAGACAACGUGUCACCACUUCGAGCAGCUAAAGUUGAGACCUUUCUCAUCAUCUCGUCUCUUGGUCUGUUGGUGCUCUCCUGUUCAACAAGUCGUAUCAGGAAAACUCGACAACGUGAGGAUAGAAAAGUGUGUAACAGAUGGCGAGGAUUGUGUUAGAAGAGCACAGCAGAGACAGUACUGUAGUCUUAUUAAAAGAAGCAUGAACACUGAGGUUUAGAAUCACCAGACGAACGUAAGCUGUCACAGUGUUGUAACCAGAAGCGAAUAUUUGUCACAUACAUUUUACUGAAUAAUGUUUAUCGAUAAAGAAAAAUAAAACUGCAGGAGAUUGGUGUGGCCGUAAACAGUGGGAGAAGACUAUUGAUCUCAAAUUUGUGUUGGGGAACAGGUUAGUGUCGUCCACAACACAUCUCGACGGCCACUGACCCGGACGGUGCAGAUGUGUCUUGCGUGAGGACGCCUUCACCCCCCAGUGUGCUGACAUCGAUCUCCCUGACUCCUCUCUAAGCUAUGAGAUCUUACAACCAACUUGACCUUUCCUUACACUCUUCUUGCUCUUUCUUCACACUGCUAGACACUUUUAUAGUCUACGUGAUUUUCCCUACACUCUUCUUUCAAAAUACGUGACCUUUUUAAAAAAUUAUUUGUGACAUUCCUAGGCUGUACGUACGUAAACUUUCUACAAACUACGGGAACUUCUUAGGUUCUACAUCACCAUUACUCCUGUAAGAUCUCCAUGACUUUAUUUUGUUUCAUGUAACCUUCAUACAGUGUGACCUGCGUGACAUUAAGGGGUUACGUGACCUGUCUACGAGAUGUGACCUCUGUUCCACCUACAUAACCUUUCUUUCAUCUACUUUCCCCUCUUAAGACGUAGUUGGCAUUUCUAUGAGCCUUGUGACUCAUGAAGACUCACGUGACUCUCCUGCGAUCCACUUGACUCUCCAUCGACUUCGGUAACCUUCACACUGACUGCUGCUGCGGGGCCAAGUCAUUGUUACCAACAUCUAUCCUCUGGGUAGAACCUUGUGCCUUUCAUCGCAGUAUCAUUAUAUUUUCCCACUCGUGUGUGUUGAUGACAUAACAAAGUAUACUUUGACAUUUCCUGAAAAAGAACUUAGUGUUUUUUUUUUUAAUUUUAUAUAUAUUUUUUUUUUCAUAAAAUUUGUUUUGAAUGAUGUUCAGCACAGCACACACUUGACCUGUGAUGUGUCGUAUAUUCACGCGACUGGAAAAGUAUGGUAAUAUGGCAAAAUACAGUAUAUCUCCUUUAACAUGACCAAGUCGAGUGCUAUCCAGGCAGCCACGCCCGCCCGGCGAGGCAGAGGACCUGCCACCUCCGUCAGGGCGCGGCGCCGCGCUGGAUGGUCAAUACAAGUGAUCCACGCUUUGCCCUCGUUACAGCAGAGUUUUGUUGAUGUUUUAGUUAGUGACAUCACAAGGUGUUGCUGGUGGAUCAUGACGUCACUGUAUAUACACGCUCACCGUUUAAGAUUUCUUGUUAAUUGUUAGAUCAUGAUCAAUGCAUUGUGGUGAGCGUAAACAUACAUAUACAUGUACUGUAUAUAUAUAAAGUUGAACCAUAGAGAAUUUAAGAUUAUAUUCUACAUUAACCUUCAGUACCUUCCCCUGUGUAUGUGGGCUACAGCCAGGUGGUAACAGUCGUAGGUGAGUUGUGUUGUGCUUCAUUUGUGGUGUGUCACUCACUCAACAUGGCGCCGUGCUGUAAAGUAGAUGUUUCAAUUGUUCACCCACAUAGUCCCAAGGUUCAGGUUCUAAGAGGUUCAUACGAUAUUUUGUUGUUGUUCUAUAAGUUAAACGGUAAACUGUUUCCUUAUAUCUUAAUAAGAACAAUUAUCGUUGGAACCUUUAUAAGAGUUUGAAUCCUGAGUGUGUGUGUUGGUGACGUAGCAUCUUCUUCCCCCAUAUAGUGUGUGUGUGUGUGUGUGUGUGUGUGUGUGUGUGUGUGUGUGUGUGUGUGUCUUGUCUAAUAUCUACUACGCCUUGUGGGGGUUUACUUCUGUUAAAUGAUGUGAUGUGAUGGUAUAUAGAUAGAUAACAACAGUAUAACAAGCUUGAUGGAGUCGCACCGUAAUAGUUACUGUAGAUGAAUUAUGUUGUUAGAGUCGGCCAAACCUAAUGCUCAAAAUCGAGUCAAUAUUUACUUCGCCGUUCCAGCAGUUUGACAGUAGUAAUGUUGUGUGAGUGUUAGUAGUAGAUUUUGGUCUUUUUAAAGUGUUUAUAGUUGUGAAAUUUUUUUAUUGAUUCUUUUUGAAAAAUAUUAAUGCAUAGUUGAGGUAUUUUUUUUUAACAGGUCAUAUCAGUUCACAAAUACCAACCAUGAUAUUAUUAUUAUUAUUAUUAUUUUUUUUUGUGUUGUUGUGUUGGUGUAAAGAUGAUAUGUAUGGUGUAUCUAUGAGCCUAAAGUCAAUAUUGUCUUAAAUGUAAAUCACUGAGCACAUUUGACUGUUUACUUGUAAAUUUAAAGCAUCAGAUUAGUCACAACAAAGAAUUUUUUUUCUGCCUUUUAGAAGAUACACUAUAUGUAAAUGUUUUCUUUAUAUUAACUGUAGAAUUCUGACAAGACCUGUUAACACAAACUAGACAAAUUUAGUGUUUAAUCCUGACCUGAGUUUGACACUUCCCGGGCGCUUGGGUCUUGAUGUGGACAGAAUGGAUAAGUGACGCGUAAUAUUUCAUCAUCAUUUCCUAUAAUUACUAGACUCGAAUAAACUGGGAUCCCUAUAACCAGUGUCUUGAUUAUUCUAAAUGUCUUGUCAUCAUUUAUUUCCCAAUUACGGAAACGUAUCAUGAUUUCUUUUAGAGCCCAGUGCGUCAACUUGUUCGGAUAAUCAAAAUCCACUUUUAUCGGGAUCUGAAAAGUAGAUAACAUUUCUUUGAGCCAAUCUAAAUAAAAAAAAUAAAUUAUAAAAAAAAUCAUGUAAGGACGUAGAACCCCAGUCUUGUGUAAAAAUCCUGUUGUUGUACUUGUAGGAGGCAGUACCGUGUGUGACGCUGAAGAAGGCCACGCAGGCGGGCGAUCUCCUCCUAAGUGACGUACGCUAAAUUUAAUGUUUAAAUUGAGUGUUUUAUUCCAUGUUAGGUGUUCUAGGAGAGGACCAUUGUGUUAUUGGUAGAUUUAUAAUGACGUGAAGCUUUGUGUGUCGAGCUCCUGUGUGGUAACUGAGUCAUUUAGUAGUAAUGAUUUAUCGACUGUGUUCAACGCAUGAGUAGAUAGCUCCGGAGUGACUCAUUGAUUACUUAUUUAAGCUAAUACAUUUCUUCCCCUUAACAAUCAAUAUUUUUUUUAUAGAUUCAUCCCUUGUCUAUAUUUAAUUAUCGGUUGCAUCCGCUGCCUCAACAAUAUAAUAAUUGCUUUACCAUUUUUCAGUUGCUUGCACUAGUUGUGUUCUUCCUUGACGCCGCCAUUUCGCUUCUUUCUUGUUUCUAUUUAUGAGUUUUUCCUUUAAUAUUGAUCUGGUAUAUGUCUGUAGUCUACUUGAAAAGGCACGGAAGAGAAUCUCUGCGAGGGAUCAUUAAUACAGAGGUUUGAAUCUGGUGUUAUCGACUGCCAGUACCUCAAUGCGAUACCCAAGCAGCGAUUCCUUCCCGUAAUCCGUCUAAGUGAGAUGAAACAGGACCUCAGUAAUGGUUUAUAUGAUCGAAUAAGGACCUCAUAUAGAACUAGAUCGUUGUGUGCAUGUGUACAGCUUAAGAUAAAUGUAGAACCAUUGGAAAAUAUUGUAUGUUUAAUUUGUCUCGACUUAAAAUUAAUGCUAUGAUUCCUAUUUCCAGAGCUACGGUGAAUUUGAGAACCGUCAUAAACCUCUAUGUAAUUAUGUGUCUGUAUAAAACUUAAGGUAAAUAUUAACUGCAAAAAUAUCCUACUAACUGUAAGUCAAAACGGUACAAAUGGACCCCCCCCCCAACAAAAAAAUACUUUGCAUUAAUAAAACAUCCCGCCAGUCUCCAUCUAUCUGGAAACGCUGACUAUGAACCUAAAACAAGUGAUCAAACUAACUCCUAUAGACGUAAGACACCCUCAAAACACAUCCUAAAAUGAAAGCAAAAUUAUCUGGAUGAUAUUAACCGGAUAUUAUUUUCUCUCAAUCAAAAAUCCCUAACAACAAAUAAACAAACGUAUUUGCUCAUCAUUGUCGUUCUAACGGUUGUUGUGCCUAAUUUCUUUAAUUUUAAUAAGAAACAAAUUUUAUUAUCAUUUAUAUAAUUUCUAGAAAGUUUUUAUUUUAAAUAUUGUUAGUCAUGUAUUCCUCAGUGUAUAAGAUGGUACAAAUUUUCGUUGUAUAGUAAUCCUAAAUGUUUUCGAUGUAUUGUCUAUUUAUAUAUGGAGUUGUUGUUUUUGACUAUGAUAGACUAUUUUAUUUUAUGUACACAUAAUUUUUUUCAUAAUUCUAAGCUGUAUUUAUAAAGAUGUGUUUGUAUAGUAAUUAAAUAUGAUCGAUGUAUAAUUCUGCUUUCGUUGUUUUAGAACUGUAUGAAAAGAUAUCAGGCUAUUUUAUCAGGUAUAAUUAACCAAUACAUACUAUAUUUUGCUAUAUGUUUUUAGGCUGUCUUUUUAUAUUUAUAUGUUUAUACAAUAUUUAAAUAUUUUCUGUGUAUAAUUGUAUCUGAAAUUGGUUUGAGUGUAUGAGCAGAUAGCUUUAUUACUGAACUCGGCCGGAUGCUCAACACACCUCGUAAGUAACGCACUCAGUGGUGUUGUGACUGACUUAACAUUAUUUAAACUUACAACUGCUAAAAUUAAUGUAAACCUGUUAUACGCAGAACUAUUUAGCGAUAUCGUUAGGUUAUUGUAACUCGAAUGUCGAUACCGAGAGUGACUUCCUGCGUGUCAGUCGUGUUUCAUCAACAGAAAGAUUAUAUAAAUGGGUUAAUUACAUUUGAUUUAUAUACUGAAUCAUCCCCUGUAAAUUUCCACUGGCUAUGAGGUGACAUGUUCAGAGCAAGUGAUAAGGUGUGCCCAUGGGAAACCGCGUCAUAUUAUGCUGAGUUUUGCUACUCUAACCCAAUAUAAUAUAAAUGUACCAGCCUAGUUAACUUCGACAGAACCUAUAGUUAACCGGCUAUAACAGUCGGCCAAUCACAUUACGCUUUCAAAACUUACCGACCAACCAAAAGCUAAAGAUAUAAGUUGGAAAAGGUAAAACGUGGGAGGUUGUUUUCUUGGGGAAGUAGUCAGCAGAACACCACCAAGAUAAAAAAAAUAACGCCUGGGACUCAGUUAAAGUGUUAGUUCUGUGCGUUGUCGUAUAAUCUUUAUUACUUACUGUCAUCUAAAGAACAUCUGUGGACAAAAUGAACGAAAUCGAAAAACUCCUUCUGGUGUUAGCCGCCUGCCUCACAGUUGGGUGUGACUGUGUGAGUCGGGGCAGCCUGGGACCUCUUCGUUCACCUCUCUAAAAAAAGUAAAAAAAUUCCUCACACAGCAUCAAAGUUACACACCUAUACAAUAUGUAGAACCUCAAAAAUUUUUCAUUACUUGAGUUAGAGGAUUGCAAAGCUCGUGCGUUUAAAUAUACACCAACUGCACCUCUCCCGCUAAAACAUAAACAAACACAGCUACUAUUUAUAAGGUAGUUUCUUAACUGAUUAGGGAUCUUUUUAAUAUUUUUCCAUUGAAAUAAUAUAUGAAACCUGUUCUCUGUAGUAUUCUCAGAUAAAACAGCUUUAAUGAGUUUUAUAUAACAUGGAAGGCAUAGUAUUUAUGCAAUCUGGAAAUAUACUGCACUGGCUAUGUCAGUACCAUCACAGGAGCUCCGAAGGUCCUGUAAGUUACGGCCCCUGAGACAAUGUGACGUCACAAGAUGGCCGAUAGCUGUGAAUAUCGCUACAGAAAAGACUUACAGCCCCGAGGGUCGAUUUACGGAGUUAACUGGGAGAUACAACAUUACUUUUGAGUAUCCGGGGCUUCAGUGAUAUAUUACCUGUAUAUAAAUGACGUGAGUAAGGUAGUUAGCUUUUAGGUGCGUCAUAUACAGGAGGCUAUAAAAGUUCCUGAAGGCUCUAAGCGUCAGAUAACAUUACAAAACGAACGAAAACUCUAAACAUUCCUCACUAAUGUUUUAUUGUAAAUUAAUCACCUUUUCCACCUGUAAAUACUAUAAAGUUGAGUAACAUAUAUUAUUACGAGAUACCCAGUCACCUCACAACCAGGCAUACCAACCCUUCUGAGGUAACAUGAGCCAUAGAGUUGUACUCAGCUGUGUGAGAAUUUUUCUUUGCCGAUUGUACUCUCACCCACAAAAGUCCUGUUCCCUCUCCUCCUGAACCACGAACCCUAAGAUUCAGACUCAUGAAUCCGAAGCAUUUAUGGUACAGAAUAAUGUAUCAGUCUACUGCUUUGGGUUUAGGAGUCUGAAUAAUAGGGUUCGUGGUUCAGGAGGAGAGGGAACAGGACAUUUGUGGAUGACUGUACAGUAUUGUUAACUGGAGACUUUUUUUCAAUGUUUUUGUUAGCUGCUCAGGUAAAUUGUAAAGCUUACCUGAUGACUAUCCCGGUGAUUAAGUUAGCUGCCAGGUAAAUUGUACUAUAGUUACCUAUAACUACACUACAGAGUUGUAAAGUAGAUGAGAGAAACAUUUAUGUAUUGUAAGUUUACCAAUAUACAUACAUACAUUUAUUCAGUUAU